rnacentral:rRNA from 1 species
GAAGUAUCUUGGUAUGUAAACCUCUUUUCUCAAGAAAGAAGUUCUGACGGUACUUGAGGAAUAAGCAUCGGCUAACUCCGUGCCAGCAGCCGCGGUAAUACGGAGGGUGCAAGCGUUGUCCGGAUUUAUUGGGUUUAAAGGGUGCGUAGGCGGUUUUAUAAGUCAGUGGUGAAAGACAACAGCUCAACUGUUGAGGUGCCAAUGAUACUGUGGAACUUGAGUACAGACGAGGUAGGCGGAAUUGACAGUGUAGCGGUGAAAUGCAUAGA